rnacentral:lncRNA from 1 species
CAUCCAGUCAUGAUCCAGUGAUCAAAAUGUUCCAUUGUCUUUUCAUUGUUUUGAAAAUCCCACUGUUCUCCAUGCCAUCCAGUCAUGAUCCAGUGAUCAAAAUGUUCCAUUGUCUUUUCAUUGUUUUGAAAAUCCCACUGUUCUCCAUGCCAUCCAGUCAUGAUCCAGUGAUCGGAAUGUUCCAUUGUCUUUUCAUUGUUUUGAAAAUCCCACUGUUCUCCAUGCCAUCCAGUCAUGAUCCAGUGAUCAGA